UGAAAAAAAACAAUGUCACAUGGAUGAUGC
rnacentral:piRNA from 1 species